rnacentral:rRNA from 1 species
GAUGAACGCUGGCGGCGUGCCUAAUACAUGCAAGUCGAGCGAACAGACGAGGAGCUUGCUCCUCUGACGUUAGCGGCGGACGGGUGAGUAACACGUGGAUAACCUACCUAUAAGACUGGGAUAACUUCGGGAAACCGGAGCUAAUACCGGAUAACAUGUUGAACCGCAUGGUUCAACAGUGAAAGACGGUUUUGCUGUCACUUAUAGAUGGAUCCGCGUCGCAUUAGCUAGUUGGUAAGGUAACGGCUUACCAAGGCAACGAUGCGUAGCCGACCUGAGAGGCUGAUCGGCCACACUGGAGCUGAGCCACGGUCCAGACUCCUACGGGAGGCAGCAGUAGGGAAUCUUCCGCAAUGGGCGAAAGCCUGACGGAGCAACGCCGCGUGAGUGAAGAAGGUCUUCGGAUCGUAAAACUCUGUUAUUAGUGAAGAACAAAUGUGUAAGUAACUAUGCACGUCUUGACGGUACCUAAUCAGAAAGCCACGGCUAACUACGUG